GCCUUUGAGCUUUUCACUACUCUACUAUCGAAUCUGCAAAUUCGGAUCUGUUCCUGAAAAGUUGAUAGUAUCUCUCAAAUCUCGCUUCUGAUUCAUUUUCCUUUUGUGUAAGUUUGUUUUUACGUCCACAUGCAUGUUUGAUUCGAUGUGGGAAUAAUUGGAUUUGGAUGUGCAGCUUUCUGGGAGAUAAAAUAUGAAGAAUUCCAUAUCUGAACAGAGUUUCUACA
rnacentral:misc_RNA from 1 species